rnacentral:rRNA from 1 species
AACAUGACUCUCGGCAACGGAUAUCUCGGCUCUCGCAUCGAUGAAGAACGUAGCGAAAUGCGAUACCUGGUGUGAAUUGCAGAAUCCCGCGAACCAUCGAGUCUUUGAACGCAAGUUGCGCCUGCCGCCACUUGGCCAAGGGCACGCCUGCUUGGGCGUCACGC